GUCGUCUCUCGUCUUUACGCUCUGCGCGCAUUCGUACCAUUACGAAUAUAGCUCGUUCGUAAAAGUAUUGGAAGAUGUCGAUGCAACUGUCAUUAAUAAUCAUUUUUGAAUCAAAGCCUCAUUCGGUCCUACAUAUCGGAAAUAUCGUUUGAAAUUCUCUCUUUCGUGUUUCUAACGUUCGUGGUUCUACUACGUGAAAAUUUCGCGGUAAAUUUUAUAUGUAAAUAUAAAUAAAAUAAAAGAAAUACAGAUUUCUAACAAUAAUAGGUUACUUUAAUAUUCGUACUAUCUUUCUACAAUAAUUUCGAAAAAAUGAACAAAGCUUGGAAGAAGGUUUAAAGAAAAAAACUAAACAAAUAUAAAGGAUCAUUUUAACCUACUCAUCUUCACGUCGAAAAUGAAUCUCUUUGAAAUGAUCGUCGUGUUUGUAUCCAACGACCGCGUUUUACCGCUUAGAGAAAGGAAUCCGCGCAGACCGCAAGAUGUCUAGCUGCCGCGCAAGAUAACAGGAGAACAUAUUGCACAUGUAUUGCCAGCGUGCAUACUUCGAAUCGCGGAGCUACUCAAGCUGCUUUUAUUAUACAUAUAUACAUACUUAAGCAAUAACAUCACAUCGAUUUUUACAUUAAUUCCAAUUUUUUCUUUAUAUUUUCAAAUAUUAUUUCAGAAGAGUGUUAUCUCUCGUACUUGUUACAUACGUAUUAAAAAUGAAUUUUUUAAGGUUAGAAAAAUAUAAUAUAUAUUUCUUUGCACAAUAAUAUUGCUUAAUUAUAUUUAUCUGAUAGAGUUAUUUUUAUACAUA